UGAAGGAUUAAAAAGAUUAGUAUUUGAAAAAAUAAAAAUUAAAAAAAAUGGAAAAUAUUAAAAAAGAGUAUUUGGGAGGAAAGGAAGAGAAGUGGGUGUAAAGGAAUAGAUACAGCUUGGAAUUUGGAAACCAAACUAAGAUCGAAGACCCCACACUUCUUCACCUCCUUCUUUCCUUUUCAACCCUUCUUCUUCAUCUUCUUCAUCUUCUUCAUCUUCUUCCUCAAUCCUCUCUCUCACCAACCUCUUCUUCAACUUCAAUUUCAAGUUGAAAAUGGGAAGCAAAGCACCAAGCUGGGCUGAUCAGUGGGGUUCAGGAAAUUACGGAGUGGAAGACGACGACAACAACAAUGCGGUCACAAAGAAAGGGAGCAGCAAUGGGAAUAGUAGCAAGAAGAUGGCAGAGGUAAAGGCUGCAGCUUCAGCUGGAUUUGUGAAGGCAAAGGCUGUUGCAACUGUGGGUGCUCAAAAAGUGAAAUCUGGAACUUCGGUAGGCAUCAAAUGGGUCAAGAAUCAGUACCAGAAAAAGGUCUCCAAAUGACUCCAAAUAUGUUUAGGCCUCUCCAUUUUAUUUUCUUUUUAUUGGUCUUUAAAUAUAGCUUUGUAGUCUGAAAACUUUUGUAGUCUUUUUUAGUUUCCUGCAUUUUGUCAAACUCUUUUCCAUAAACUUCAAACGACAAAUGAGAUAUCAUAUCAUAAAUUGCUAUAA